AGCGAACGCUGGCGGCAGGCCUAACACAUGCAAGUCGAACGAAGCCUUCGGGCUUAGUGGCGGACGGGUGAGUAACACGUGGGAACGUACCUUUUGGUUCGGAACAACUUAGGGAAACUUGAGCUAAUACCGGAUGAGCCCUUAGGGGGAAAGAUUUAUCGCCGAAAGAGCGGCCCGCGUUAGAUUAGCUAGUUGGUGAGGUAAAGGCUCACCAAGGCUACGAUCUAUAGCUGGUCUGAGAGGAUGAUCAGCCACACUGGACUGAGACACGGCCCAGACUCCUACGGGAGGCAGCAGUGGGGAAUCUUGCGCAAUGGGCGAAAGCCUGACGCAGCCAUGCCGCGUGAAUGAUGAAGGUCUUAGGAUUGUAAAAUUCUUUUACCAGGGACGAUAAUGACGGUACCUGGAGAAAAAGCCCCGGCUAACUUCGUGCCAGCCGCCGCAGUAAAAC
rnacentral:rRNA from 1 species